UACAGAGGGUGCGAGCGUUAAUCGGAAUUACUGGGCGUAAAGCGCGCGUAGGCGGCUUUGCAAGUCGGGUGUGAAAUCCCCAGGCUUAACCUGGGAACUGCAUUCGAGACUGCAUUGCUAGAGUAUGGGAGAGGGAAGUGGAAUUUCAGGUGUAGCGGUGAAAUGCGUAGAUAUCAGGAAGAACACCCGCGGCGAAAGCGGCUCUCUGGAACGG
rnacentral:rRNA from 1 species